GAUGAACGCUGGCGGCGUGCCUAACACAUGCAAGUCGAGCGGCAGCACGGUCUUCGGACUGGUGGCGAGCGGCGGACGGCUGAGUAACGCGUAGGAACGUACCCCAAAGUGAGGGAUAACUGCUCGAAAGAGUAGCUAAUACCGCAUGUGAUCUAAGGAUUAAAGCUACGGCGCUUUGGGAACGGCCUGCGUCCGAUUAGCUAGUUGGUGAGGUAAAAGCUCACCAAGGCGACGAUCGGUAGCUGGUCUGAGAGGAUGAUCAGCCAGACUGGGACUGAGACACGGCCCAGACUCCUACGGGAGGCAGCAGUAGGGAAUUGUCCACAAUGGGCGAAAGCCUGAUGGAGCAACGCCGCGUGCAGGAUGAAUGCCUUCGGGUUGUAAACUGCUUUUAUGUGUGACGAAUAUGACGGUAGCAUAUGAAUAAGGAUCGGCUAACUCCGUGCCAGCCGCCGCGGUAA
rnacentral:rRNA from 1 species